rnacentral:rRNA from 1 species
GACGAACGCUGGCGGCGUGCUUAACACAUGCAAGUCGAACGGAAAGGCCCUGCUUGCAGGGUACUCGAGUGGCGAACGGGUGAGUAACACGUGGGUGAUCUGCCCUGCACUUCGGGAUAAGCCUGGGAAACUGGGUCUAAUACCGGAUAGGAGCCAUUUUUAGUGUGAUGGUUGGAAAGUUUUUUCGGUGUAGGAUGAGCUCGCGGCCUAUCAGCUUGUUGGUGGGGUAAUGGCCUACCAAGGCGGCGACGGGUAGCCGGCCUGAGAGGGUGGACGGCCACAUUGAGACUGGGAUACGGCCCAGACUCCGACGGGAGGCAGCAGUGGGGAAUAUUGCUCAAGGGGCGCAAGCCUGAUGCAGCGACGCCGCGUGGGGGAUGGCGGCCUUCGGGUUAGAGACGCCUUUCGCUAUGGACGGGGCUGUUUGUGACGGUACCGGGAUAAGAAGCACCGGCUAACUACGUG